GUAGGUGAACCUGCGGAAGGAUCAUUAUUGAAUGAACUUGGUGUGGUUGUUGCUGGCUCUUUCGAGGGCAUGUGCACGCCCACCAUCCUCAUCUCUCCACCUGUGCACCUCUUGUAGACUUGGAUUGACUUUCCGAGGCAACUCGGUCGGGAGGAUUGCCGGCGCCAGCUGGCUUUCUUUGCAUUUCCAGGUCUACGUUUUUCAUAUACCCCAUUGUAUGUAACAGAAUGUAACAUUGGGCACUUGUGCCUAUAAACUUUAUACAACUUUCAGCAACGGAUCUCUUGGCUCUC
rnacentral:misc_RNA from 1 species